GAUGCCCCGGUAGCUUUGUGGUAGAGCACCUUUAUUUGUGUGAGCAAGGUGAGCGAGCAAUGUCAGCGUUGUCGCAGGUUCGAAUCCUGCCUGGUGGCUA